rnacentral:rRNA from 1 species
UACGUAGGGUGCAAGCGUUAAUCGGAAUUACUGGGCGUAAAGCGCACGUAGGCGGAUCGAUAAGUCAGGGGUGAAAUCCCAGGGCUCAACCCUGGAACUGCCUUUGAUACUGUCGAUCUGGAGUAUGGAAGAGGUGAGUGGAAUUCCGAGUGUAGAGGUGAAAUUCGUAGAUAUUCGGAGGAACACCAGUGGCGAAGGCGGCUCACUGGUCCAUUACUGACGCUGAGGUGCGAAAGCGUGGGGAGCAAACAGG